rnacentral:lncRNA from 1 species
CUUUCCUUGCAGUCUGAUUGCGCCAGUGCUGGCACACAAACGCUCUUGUUUUUGUGGUGUAUGGAGAACUUCUGGCGGCGUGCUUUAGUAGAGCCGGUCUGCAUUGCGUCGAAACCCUCCAACUCCUCCUCCUCCUACUUCUCCUGCUUCCCUCCCAUCCCCAUCCCCUCUCCUCUCCUCUCCUCUCCUCCCUCCUCUCCCUUUCCCUCUCACCUCCCCUGCACUCGCAUGUAAAACACACGGCAGAAACUUGCCUGACAUAGUGGGGGGAACAUUUGGACCUCGCUGCUGCACCUGCCUGUGCCUCCGACUGUCCAUCUCGAUGUUUUCAGCCUGCUCUCCGCGCUGAAACACAUUCUGCCCGUCAUCUCGUCUACUCGUUAAAAAAAAAAAAAAAAAAAAAAAAGGUAGCAGAUUCCUGCUGAUGCAGUGAUGUCUGGAAAUGCCAAGGGCUCGCUUAUUGCCCCUUACUGUAUCUCCCCCCCUGAACUGCAGCGCAGGAUUUUCUCCUGCGGUAUACUGUAAGCUGUUCACGCCACCGUGAGCAGCCACCGACGCUGCGGCUCUGCCUCUCCGUCUCUCUCCUCAUCAGACCUGCCUGAUUUUCAUCUUGUUUUAUCUCCUUUCGCUUUUCGCCGCCUCAAGGCGUUUAGACCUAUUUGCGGACACAUCUGGGAUGGCGAUGAGCACAGUACGGCUCUAGGCUUUCCCUUUUUCUUUUCUUUCCCCCCUUCUUGCCUCUCUGUGCAAUGUAAAGUUGGCACAUGACACUCACUGGUGCCCUGCUGUUGGAUGAUUCUACUCGAGGAGAAGACGCAUUCAAGACCUUUCAAGAUCAACCCACGAGGCAGCAGUAACAACAGCAGCAGAUGCACCGGAGAGCAGCAAUGGUCAAGUCAGCGAGAACCGCAGUGGAGCCGCACUGAGGCAGAGCAGCCAACCAGCCCCCUCGUAUCUGGGGACGUCUCCAACAAUUUAAGGGGUGUGGGAAGCUGAGGAGUGGAAAAUUUCCCCCCGAACCUGAAUGCCUGCUCAGUCAGACUAACCGACAUCCCAGCGCAACUCCUCCUCCACCUCCUCCACCUCCUCCUCCUCCUCUUCCUCCUCCUC